rnacentral:sRNA from 1 species
UCAUAGCCCUGAUCGAAACGGCAUCCUUUGUGUGCGCCGCAGCGCGCACAAAGAUAAAGUGCAGAGCAGGAAGUUUG